GGUCGAUUAGCUUAGUUGGUAGAGCGUGGUACUAAUAAUGCCAAGGCCGGGGGUUUGAGCUCCCCAUGGACCA
rnacentral:tRNA from 1 species